ensembl:snRNA U6 U6 spliceosomal RNA
GAACUCACUUCAGUAGCACAUAUACUAAAAAUAGAAUAAUAGAGAAUAGAUCAUAAUGAUCCCUGAACAAGGAUGACACACAAAUUCGUGAAGCAUUCCAUAUUUAA